UACGUAGGGUGCGAGCGUUAAUCGGAAUUACUGGGCGUAAAGCGUGCGCAGGCGGUUCGUUGUGUCGGUGGUGAAAGCCCCGGGCUCAACCUGGGAAUGGCCAUGGAAACUGGCGAACUGGAGUGCGGCAGAGGGGGGUGGAAUUCCGCGUGUAGCAGUGAAAUGCGUAGAGAUGCGGAGGAACACCGAUGGCGAAGGCAGCCCCCUGGGCUAGCACUGACGCCUGAGACUCGAAAGCGUGGGGAGCAAACAGGA
rnacentral:rRNA from 1 species